GUGCAGUGGCAUGAUCUCUGCUCACUACAACCUCCACCUCCCGGGUUCCAGCGAUUCUCCUGCCUCAGCCUCCCGAGUAGCUGGGACUACAGGCGUGCACCACCACGCCUGGCUAAUUUUUUUUUAGUAGAGACGGGGUUUCACCAUGUUGGUCAGGCUGGUCUCGAACUCCUGACCUCGUAAUCUGCCCUCCUCGACCUCCCAAAGUGCCGGGAUUACAGGUGUGAGCCACUGUGCCUGU
rnacentral:lncRNA from 1 species